rnacentral:lncRNA from 1 species
CUCCAGUAAUGAAAAUACCGUCGAACUAUUUGGUGAGGAGACGAUCCUUCAUGAUCUCCGACAAGGCGAAUCUUCUGUUACCCAAUACUAUAAUAAUCUAACUCGUUAUUGGCAGCAGUUAGAUAUGUUUGAAAAGCACACUUGGGAAAGUCCGAAUGAUGGAAUUUAGAAUAGAUGGAUCAUUGAGAAAAAAUGGGUAUUCAAGUUUCUAAUGGGAAACAAAGAUUUGGAUGAGGUACAUGGAAGGAUUUUGGGCACAAAGCCUCUACCAAGUCUAAGAGAAGCCUUCUUGGAGGUAAGAAGAGAAGAAAGCCGAAAAAAGGUGAUGUUGG